AACACAAGACUAACUGAGGUCCGUGGCUGGACUCUGAGCGGGACUAGACCAGCAUGGAUUACCGCGUCCUAAUGCACAACGUCUGGAUCGUCCAAAGACCUUCCCGCAUUCUGCGUCAGAUAUGCAUUGACUGCUUUUCGAGGGGAAGAGUUCAGGCCACAAGACACGUGUCGAGUUUUUGAGGCGCCCUAGGAGACUCCUGAGCUGAAAUCCUAUCUUCCCCUGAAACGAGGGACUUACGUUGAAUUCUAGGUACCCCAUCAAUAAACAACAAUCAUGAUCAAUGAGACUGAUUUCUGGAUGAACACGGUUAAAAGGAGGGAGAGUUCUUCUUUGUAUUUCUGUCCUAUUCAUUUUAUUGUUCUUGUUGUUACGGCAGAGAAUGGGUUAAAUAAAGCCUUACGUAUCAGAGAAGGAAUAAGCAAGUAUCAAAGGAGAACUGAAGUAUGGGUUUGUCUGUCAACAGCUCUCUCUCUCCCGUACGCUUGCAGAUAAUGUCAAGCUUGUUGAUACGUCUGCGAAGAUUUCGAUUGGAAAACUGGUUUGGGGAGAUCGUAACAGAAGAGCACAAAAUAACAUCUCCAUAUCCAAAUCGCUGAGACACAAAACCUUUGCCAACCGGCUGCCCUCCAGCUGUUUGGGGCUGCAAGUGGCUGGCUGGAGCUGAAGGAAGCUGUCUUCGAAAACAGCUGGAGCCUCAGAUGAAACAUAAAUAAUGUUAUUUAUUUAGCAGGAUUUAUAUACCGCUUGAGCCUAGGAAAAAGCGGUUUACAAAACAAUGCCGCAUACUAACGGUGAUAUAAUAAGUAAUUCUAUAUGUACUGUCCAUGUUUUUAAAAGAUGCACCUAGGUUUUAAAAACCAGCGCGUA